UUUGAUCCUGGCUCAGGACGAACGCUGGCGGCGCGCCUAACACAUGCAAGUCGAACGAGAGAUGAGGAGCUUGCUCUUCAAAUCGAGUGGCGAACGGGUGAGUAACGCGUGAGGAACCUGCCUCAAAGAGGGGGACAACAGUUGGAAACGACUGCUAAUACCGCAUAAGCCCACGGCUCGGCAUCGAGCAGAGGGAAAAGGAGCAAUCCGCUUUGAGAUGGCCUCGCGUCCGAUUAGCUAGUUGGUGAGGUAACGGCCCACCAAGGCGACGAUCGGUAGCCGGACUGAGAGGUUGAACGGCCACAUUGGGACUGAGACACGGCCCAGACUCCUACGGGAGGCAGCAGUGGGGAAUAUUGCACAAUGGGGGAAACCCUGAUGCAGCGACGCCGCGUGGAGGAAGAAGGUCUUCGGAUUGUAAACUCCUGUUGUUGAGGAAGAUAAUGACGGUACUCAACAAGGAAGUGACGGCUAACUACGUGCCAGCAGCCGCGGUAAAACGUAGGUCACAAGCGUUGUCCGGAAUUACUGGGUGUAAAGGGAGCGCAGGCGGGAGAACAAGUUGGAAGUGAAAUCCAUGGGCUCAACCCAUGAACUGCUUUCAAAACUGUUUUUCUUGAGUAGUGCAGAGGUAGGCGGAAUUCCCGGUGUAGCGGUGGAAUGCGUAGAUAUCGGGAGGAACACCAGUGGCGAAGGCGGCCUACUGGGCACCAACUGACGCUGAGGCUCGAAAGUGUGGGUAGCAAACAGGAUUAGAUACCCUGGUAGUCCACACCGUAAACGAUGAUUACUAGGUGUUGGAGGAUUGACCCCUUCAGUGCCGCAGUUAACACAAAUAAGUAAUCCACCUGGGGAGUACGACCGCAAG
rnacentral:rRNA from 1 species